rnacentral:lncRNA from 1 species
CUCGGAGGUGCGGAGUGGGAACUCGGAGGGGACCCUGGGAAGCCCCGGUGCUUUCCCCGGCGACCGCUUAGCCGCUCCUGAACUCGGCUUCCAGUGGGGCCACCACUGAAACCGGCGACCGUUUCCGCCUCGCUGCCUGCCGCUCGGAGUGUACUAUUUCUUGAACCUCCUGUCCGCGGGCCGCAACAUCUAGAUCGUGGAAGAGAGGGCAGUUGUUUUAGGAUUCUACCUAGGGUUGGCCGAGAAAGGAGAAGAAAUACGGUGUCUGCGCUAGCGCGUGCGCCCCGGGGUUAGACUUGGGUGCGCCCAGCGGACGUGGUAGGUGGGUGGGUGGGUGGGUACCAGAUUGGGCGGGGAAAUAACGAAGAAUCCAUCCUCUCACCAUAAAAGGAGUUGGAGUCAGUUGGCAGUGCCCAGACUGCGGGCUGCGCUUGGUCGGGCACCCCAGGCAAAAAAGAAAAAAAAAAAAGAGAAAGAAAGAGGAGGAGACAGUGAUUGCAGCCUCUCCCGGCGCAGGUGGCAGAGCCUUGCGGCUUUGGAGAGAGGUGGAGCCUUGGUGAGGUUGGGAGGACUGCCUAACUGCGAUCUUUUUCUCCAUUCUUCCUCCUGGGAACUUCUCCGCCCUGAAAGGGUAGCGUGAGCUUCAUGCCUUCGGCCGGCCGUGUUAUACUCGUUAGACCCAAUUCACCAUGAAUCCUUUGAAAGACUAGUGGAGAGUGAGAAGGGGGUUUCAAAGUCACUGGAGUAAAGGAAUUCUCCAAGCACCACCUCAUGAUUAAUUCUUGGAAAAGCCUGUUUGCGCGGCCCUUAGAAUCAUUUUGACUUCUUGUCUAAUGGUGAAGUUUUUCUCUGUAAUCCUUCUACUCUGUUUUCUAAAACCAGAACUAAAAACCUAAAAAAUUGUAAAACUUCAUGGUGUAAUUAAAACCCCUUCACCAUUUUUUUUAAGUAAGAUUGUGUGGCCUUAUUGCACAAUUUAAAUUCCUGGAAAAACCUCUUCCCAUCUGCAGUGUACAAGCAUUCUAACAUAUUAUGUCUCCUCACAGGAGUCUAGUGUGAUCUUGGCUUACUGCAACCUCUGCCUCCUGGGUUCAAGCGAUUCUUCUGCCUCAGCCUCCCGAGUAGCUGGGACUACAGGCAUGCACCACCACACCUGGCUAAUUUUUGUAUUUUUAGUAGAGACAGGGUUUCACUGUAUUGGCCAGGGUGAUCUCGAACUCCUGACCUCAUGAUCCGCCUGCCUCGGCCUCUGAAA